AUGCGUACUAAGUUCAGGGAGCUGCUGCUAGCGAUUGGGAUUUGGGAAGGAAGGAAGUACCUGCUCCGGCUCGUCACGUUCCGCGAGAAACCAGGGGAGGCGCGUCCGUCUACGUCCGGUGUGGGGAGGAACAGUCGCGCCGCCCGUCGCCGUCGGUGCCGAGUUGGCGAGGAAGCGCGGCGUCGCUCGUCGCCGUUGAUCCAGAUUUGUGGCGUGGCGAGAGAGAGGUGA
rnacentral:rRNA from 1 species